rnacentral:rRNA from 1 species
UACGUAGGUGGCGAGCGUUGUCCGGAUUUACUGGGCGUAAAGGGAGCGUAGGCGGACUUUUAAGUGAGAUGUGAAAUACUCGGGCUCAACUUGAGUGCUGCAUUUCAAACUGAAAGUCUAGAGUGCAGGAGAGGAGAAUGGAAUUCCUAGUGUAGCGGUGAAAUGCGUAGAGAUUAGGAAGAACACCAGUGGCGAAGGCGAUUCUCUGGACUGUAACUGACGCUGAGGCUCGAAAGCGUGGGGAGCAAACAGG